UACGUAGGGCGCAAGCGUUAUCCGGAAUUAUUGGGCGUAAAGAGCUCGUAGGCGGUUUGUCGCGUCUGCCGUGAAAACCUGGGGCUCAACUCUGGGCGUGCGGUCGAUACGGGCAUCACUUGAGUUCGGCAGGGGAGACUGGAAUUCCUGGUGUAGCGGUGAAAUGCGCAGAUAUCAGGAGGAACACCGGUGGCGAAGGCGGGUCUCUGGGCCGAUACUGACGCUGAGGAGCGAAAGCGUGGGGAGCGAACAGG
rnacentral:rRNA from 1 species